UAUCUCUGUAGAGUCUGCAUAUCAAUAAGCGGAGGAAAAGAAACUAACUAGGAUUCCCUCAGUAACGGCGAGUGAAGCGGGAAGAGCUCAAAUUUGAAAUCUUCAAGGUUCUACCUUGACGAAUUGUAGUUUAAAGAAGUGUUUUCUGUUGGUGUUUUGGUAAAAGUUCUUUGGAAUAGGACAUCAUAGAGGGUGAGAAUCCCGUAUUUGACCAUUACUUCCAGCGUUGUGAUACACUUUCAAAGAGUCGGAUUGUUUGGGAAUGCAGUCCAAAAUGGGUGGUAAAUUUCAUCUAAAGCUAAAUAUUGGCGAGAGACCGAUAGCGAACAAGUACCGUGAGGGAAAGAUGAAAAGAACUUUGAAAAGAGAGUUAAACAGUACGUGAAAUUGUCAAAAGGGAAGCGUUUGACACCAGUGUUGUUUUCUCGAAAAUCAAUUAAAAAAGGCAGGAUUUUGUGUUGUAUUGACUUUAUCAGCUUUCUGCACUCUUUUCUUGUCUUUUUUAAUGCACUUUUCGUUUAACAAGUCAACAUCAAUUUCUUUUGUUGUAAAAGGGUCAUUGGAAGGUGGCUUUCUUUUCGGAGAAAGUGUUUAUAGCCUUUGGCCUCUGCAAUCGGAGAGAUUGAGGUCUGCAGCGUAGAUCCUUCGGGGUUAGAUACAUUUGUGCUAAGUUAUAGCCUUUCAUAGACAACUUGUUGACUAUGAUCAGUCAUGUAGCUUACUCGCUUAUGCUAUUUUACCUACGCUUAGGAUGUUGACGAUCAGCUGAGCGCG
rnacentral:rRNA from 1 species